rnacentral:rRNA from 1 species
AUUGAACGCUGGCGGCAGGCCUAACACAUGCAAGUCGAGCGGAUGAGUGGAGCUUGCUCCAUGAUUCAGCGGCGGACGGGUGAGUAAGGCCUAGGAAUCUGCCUGGUAGUGGGGGACAACGUUUCGAAAGGAACGCUAAUACCGCCUACGUCCUACGGGAGAAAGUGGGGGAUCUUCGGACCUCACGCUAUCAGAUGAGCCUAGGUCGGAUUAGCUAGUUGGUAAGGUAGAGGCUAACCAAGGCGACGAUCCGUAACUGGUCUGAGAGGAUGAGCAGUCACACUGGAACUGAGACACGGCCCAGACUCCUACGGGAGGCAGCAGUGGGGAAUAUUGGACAAGGGGCGAAAGCCUGAUCCAGCCAUGCCGCGUGUGUGAAGAAGGUCUUCGGAUUGUAAAGCACUUUAAGUUGGGAGGAAGGGCAGUAAGUUAAUACCUUGCUGUUUUGACGUUACCAACAGAAUAAGCACCGGCUAACUUCGUGCCAGCCGCCGCGGUAAAAC